GCGGGAGUGGUGAAACUGGCAGACACGCAGGAUUUAGGUUCCUGUGCCGAAAGGCGUGUGGGUUCAAGUCCCACCUUCCGCA
rnacentral:tRNA from 2 species